ensembl:lncRNA
GUGGGACAUGGGGGGGGGGCACCCCCAGAACCUGGGGGAUCAUGGAAGGAGGGGCACCCCCAGAGCCUGGGGGGACGUGGGGGGCAGGGAGACCCCCAGAGUGGGGGGGGACAUGGAGGGAGAAGGACCCCCAGAGCCAGGUGGGACAUGGGGGGGGACAACGGAGGUCCAUUGGGUUCUAUGGGGUCCACUUGGGGUCCAUUUGGGGUCCCGCAGGUGGUGGUGCUGCUGUACGGGGGUACAUUGGGUUCUAUGGGGUCCAUUUGGGGCUCUUUUGGGGUCCGCAGGUGGCAGUGUUGCAGUACGGGGGUCCAUUUGGGGUCCAUGGGGUCCAUUUGGGAUCUAUGGGGUCCGCAGGUGGCGGUGCUGCAGUACGGGGGUACAUUGGGUUCUGUGGGGUCCAUUUGGGGUCUAUGGGGUGCGCAGGUGGCGGUGCUGCAGUACGGGGGUCCAUUUGGGGUCCAUGUGGGGUCCAU